UCAGGAAGCUGGCGAGCGACUUCUCUGGUCUGUAACUGACGCUGAUGUCGCGAAAGCGUGGGGAUCAAACAGGAUUAGAUACCCUGGUAGUCCACGCCGUAAACGAUGAGUGCUAAGUGUUAGGGGGUUUCCGCCCCUUAGUGCUGCAGCUAACGCAUUAAGCACUCCGCCUGGGGAGUACGACCGCAAGGUUGAAACUCAAAGGAAUUGACGGGGGCCCGCACAAGCGGUGGAGCAUGUGGUUUAAUUCGAAGCAACGCGAAGAACCUUACCAAAUCUUGACAUCCUUUGACCACUCUAGAGAUAGAGCUUUCCCCUUCGGGGGACAAAGUGACAGGUGGUGCAUGGUUGUCGUCAGCUCGUGUCGUGAGAUGUUGGGUUAAGUCCCGCAACGAGCGCAACCCUUAGACUUAGUUGCCAGCAUUUAUUUGGGCACUCUAGGUUGACUGCCGGUGACAAACCGGAAGAAGGUGGGGAUGACGUCAAAUCAUCAUGCCCCUUAUGAUUUGGGCUACACACGUGCUACAAUGGACAAUACAAAGGGCAGCUAAACCGCGAGGUCAUGCAAAUCCCAUAAAGUUGUUCUCAUUUCAGAUUGUAGUCUGCAACUCGACUACAUGAAGCUGAGAAUCGCUAGUAAUCGUAUAUCAGCAUGCUACGGUGAAUACGUUCCCGGGUCUUGUACACACCGCCCCGUCACACCACGAGAGUUGUGUCACACCCGAAGCCGUGUGGAGUCACCUAUUUAUGGCAGCUAGCCCGUCGAAGUGGGACAAAUGAUUGGGGGAUGAAGUCGUACAGGGAACACCCGAAAA
rnacentral:rRNA from 1 species